AUUCCAAUGACGCUCAUCUUCGCACCAUGCAGGCGCCUGGUUCUCCUUGUUGCCAAGCUCCAGGAACUAGAAGCAAGCAUCAUGCACAGUAGGUCAUCAUAUCCAGCAGUAUGGAGUCACAUAGCGAGGAUACAAACAAUAACCAUCACGCUGUGAAGGAAGAUUGGAAGUAAUUUCUAAUCGAUAUAUGCAAUUGAGCUUUCAGAUUUUUAGCAGUCUCCUUCUCCUGCACAUAUUGAAUGCAUAUCAGCAUACAAAAGCAGUGGUGACAUGUAACCAGAAUCAUGGGAUUCUGGGAAUUAAUGCAAGGAGAGAUGAUUAUCAGUGGACAGUUUCAUUAGAUGCCUUUCUUUCACUUGUAAACCUUGUAGUACUAAAUGUUAAUGGAGUUAUCUUGUGUUGCUGAAAAUAAUUAGGUUCGUGUUGGUUUCAACAAUUGAUUAUACUCAACAUUAACUCAUUGUUAGCUAAUUUCCGUGUAGAAAUUUGGUUUUCUAUGUUCACUUAGUUCACUCUUUUCAGAAAAUAAUAUAUAAAAAGAACUUACUGGGCCAGUGUAA